rnacentral:rRNA from 1 species
CUUUUACAAUGAAGAGUUUGAUCCUGGCUCAGGAUGAACGCUAGCUACAGGCUUAACACAUGCAAGUCGAGGGGCAGCAUUUUAGUUUGCUUGCAAACUGAAGAUGGCGACCGGCGCACGGGUGAGUAACACGUAUCCAACCUGCCGAUAACUCCGGAAUAGCCUUUCGAAAGAAAGAUUAAUACCGGAUGGCAUACGAAUAUCGCAUGAUAUUUUUAUUAAAGAAUUUCGGUUAUCGAUGGGGAUGCGUUCCAUUAGUUU